GACGGGGGGGGGGGCUCCGGGCUGAGGGAGCUGCUGCCGCCGCUGCUCGGCGUCGCGUCGCCUCUUCAGGGGGGGUCGCUCGGCGUCCUGGGCUCCGUGACGCGGCCGGGGCUUCCCUUGGCCCCUGGGGCUUCCUUCCAGCCGGCCCCUCCGCCGACGGGGCUGCUCGGAGGGAUGAGAUGAACCGGACCCAUGAAACUGACCCACCGCCCCAGCCCUGGGGGAGGCAGAGCUGAGGUAGCUGAGACCAACUGGUUGGUUAGUUCAGCAUUUUUAUUUUAUUUCCUUGAUGGGGGGCAGCCCCAGCCCUCCUGGCUACCGGUGGCCACAGCACAGGAGCAGAGGCGGGUUGAUAAGCUGGCAACCUCUUUGCAAGGCCAGUUUCUGCUUCAGGAUUGCUGGAAGGGAGCACUGGAGCGCAUUGGGUGCUGGCAGUGCCAGUUCUGCAGAUGGGCAUUUGGGGUUUUGUGGGUCAGGUGUGCUCACAAGUUUUGAAUGAGCAGGAUUCCAGUUUUUCAGAAGUGAUUGAGAAGGUGCUCCUUGUUGCAGCUACACAUUAUAUAAAAGAAUUACCAAAUUAGGGUGGUCUAGUGGAAAGGAGGACAGGGCUCUUGCCCCUUUAGUAGCCUCCUCUUCACCCAUGUUAAAGGUACAGGAGCCCUAUCUUUCCAUCUGGCCAAAAUUAAGUGGGUCUCACUAUUAGGAAUGCAAUCUAUUAUUAAGUUAAUAUGUGAUAAUAACAUACACCAUUGUGCAAAUUAGUUGAAACAAAGCAUGUUUUCUAUCUUACUCUUAAUCCUGUACUCAAAACAAACAUGAAAAGCCAGUUGAUCACUAUGGUGUCAGAAGCCUGCAGCCAAUAGAAGGAAUGAUGCGCUCGCCACAAUAUAUUGAGGUUCUACGAAAGAGAGUUAUUCCAGAGCUGGAAAAGAGGUAUCAUGAUGGUACUGGGUUAUUGCAGCAGGACCUAGCCCCCUGUCACACAUCAAAAGCGGUGAAGAAAUUCAUGACAGAGCAGCAAAUACAAGUACUUGAUUGGCCAGGGAAUUCCCCGUACGUAAAUCUCAUUGAGAAUUUGUGAACUACAGUAUAUGCAAAAGUCGCCUCCAUGCUGUAGACUGUACAACUAUGGAGAAGCUCAUUCAGGCUCUGAUUCAAGUGUGUGUUAUAACCUGAAAGAGAUUUCAUGAAAAUGUUUUGCCGUUGGUACCGAACACCUUCAAAACUGGCUAAAAUGUAUAAAACCGGGUCGAGCAAUUGUUGGAGAUGCAGAGAGGCGGAAGGCACAAUGAUACACAUGUGGUGGAACUGUAAAAAAAAGAGAGAAUUUUGGGAAAUGAUAUACAAUGAGCUUAAGAAAAUGUUUAAAUUUUAUUUUGCAAAAAAAAACCUGAAGCCUUUCUGCUGGGUAUAAUGAGUAACGAUAUUUCAAAAAAUAUAAGGAGAAUUUUCAUGUAUGCAAUAGCCGCAAAAAGAAUCUUAAUAGCUAAAGGAUGGAAAGGAGAAUCCAUUCCUACUAAGUAAGACUGGCAGGUGAAAAUGCUAGAAUACGCUGUUAGCAAAAAUGACAGGAAGACUUACAGAUGAUACAGAACAGUGAUUUAAUAGAGAAUGGGACACUUAGAGAGUAUACAUAAAAGAACAUUGUAAACAUCUAAAUUCUUUGGCAGGUCUUGAUUGACCCCUGAAAGACACUAGGAAACUUUACAGAACCAAGACAAUUGAGACAAUUUAUGAGAGACAGUGGAAAGUGUGCAGUCAAAAAUGUAACUUAGGAACCAUGUUGGGGUGAUCGGAAGUCAUAAUGGAAUCUGUUAUGUAUGAAUCUAAUUUUUUUCUUUUUGUAAUAUGUUUUGAUCUUGGAUUGUUUUUGUCGAUUGAUUUUUGCAAAAUUAAUAAAGCAUUAAAAUAAAAAAUGAAGCACCACAAGUUCUCCUUCCCUGCUUUACACCUUCAUAUCUAGUAUCUCUUCAGCAGCUGUGGCUGCUGGUUCCUCCCUCUCUGUUCUUUCCCAGGUAUGGUAGCAAACCCAUUUCCAGUGGUGGCACCAGAAAAGAAUUAUGGGAGAGCACUAAAUGGGCAAAGUGCAUUUUUUUGGAGAGAUGAGGCUGCAACAAGUGCCCUUCUUCCAAGGAACCACAGAGGUGCAGCGGGAGGGAACUCUUUGUCCAGGGAGGUGCUCUCUUGCCUCUCCCCUGGUACUCCCUAGGAUCUCUUCCCCCAUCCAUUGUAACAAACAGAAUAUUGAUUUUGCCUGACAGCAGGUUGGGAAUGUGAAUGAGCCCAAUAAAUGAGAAACAGAGAAACUGUGAUGGUGGCAACAACCUCCCUCAAAACAGAGGUUAGAUUUUCUGGGUUUCAACCUUAAACUUUGCGCACACAUGCUGGGAGCCUGAUCCCAUCUGCGCUUCCUCAGUGGCACUCCCAGUAAGUAUGCAUAAGAUUGCAGCUAAGGCAGAAUGCAUAAGGAAUCCAAUCAACUCCUUGACUGGACAGGAUUGCUUGGGCUUCCAGUCAAAUAGUGUGCAAAGUGAAAUUAGUUUCACCCUCAGCUAUCAUUGUGACAUUUGAGGAAGGCACAUAGCUCAGUUGUAGAGCAACUGCUUUGCAUGCAGAAGGUCCCAGGUUCCGUCCCCAGCAUCUCAAGUUGGCCAAGAAUUUCCUCUGCCUGAAACCCUGGGGACCCGCUGUGUGUCGGUGUUGGCAAUACUAAGCCAGAUCAUGAACCAAUGACCUGACUUGGUACAAGGCAGUUUCAUGUGUUUCCCUGACAUUGACAUUGCAAGGAGUCCUUGGUCUCUUGUAGAUCAUGUAGCCCAGCUCCCAGGUAAACUGUGACACUGAGGUGUCAGGAGCUACACACAUAACCCCAGGACUUGGUGAGUCCCAGCACCUCUCAUUUAGAGGUUAAACCACUCAUGCCAUAUUAAUGCAUGCAUUAUUUAGGAGAAAACAUCAUAUACCCAUGCUCAAUAGCCAGUCUAUAAAAGCCUUUAAAGGGUCAAGGAACAAUUCUUGUUGCAUGUGGGAGUCAGAUGUCCUUCCCCCCCGAUACUCUUCUUUCCCUAACAUUGAACAAACUAAUCAUUUCAGCCACUUGGACAACAAUAAUAGUUUAAUUGGAGCCAGGGCCUACGAUGGCAUAGCAUUGGGAGAGUUUUCAGUCCUGCAAAUGUGAAGCAAGAACCUAUGAAGUGUGUGCAGACUACUUUUCACCUCUGACUAAUCACAACCAGCCUCCACAUGCCUGGGAUUGGACAGAAUACCUUGCCGAUUUGGGGAUGGGAGUGAACAGUCAGUGUGUCAUCCACACCAGACUGAGACUUGUGAUUCUACUUUCAUUUCAUGAUUUCACUGACAGCUGGGCUACACCUUUAAAGCACAUUUGCAGCACAUUUCACCCCCUCAAAGAAUUCUGGGCGCUGUAGUCUACCCCUCAAGGGGGUACAAUUCUCACCAACCUCACCAGAAGCCUUUGAGGGAAAGAAUGUGCUUCAAAUGUACUUUAAAGAUGUAGUGUGUGCACAGCCGAGUGGACCCUCAAGAACACCAGGCACUAGAAAUCAACGCUGCAAAAGCAAAACCUGCCUUGCUGUCUGCGGAGGAGGAGGAAAAAGUUGAAAAUGUAUGAUUCCCUCCCUCACACUUAAGCUGUAGGGAAGGUGGCAGCAACAGGAGGUCCUGGCUGGAAAGUAGUAAAGAGGAGCAGAGUUAAGACAACUCAGACUGACAGCCAAAUAGACAUUAAAAUGGCACCCAUACCCCCACUUUAUACAUUCAUUUCAGAAUUUACAUUAUUUUCUUCUGUUAUGGAGGCUUUUAAGUGCAUUAAAUAUUUAAGCAUUUAAAUGUCAUGGAUUAAUGCAACAGCAAUACAGUACUAAAAACAAGAGCAUCAGCGCAUCAGCAGCAGAGCAGGGCAUGCGCAGAGAUGACCCAAGGAGCCUGCCUCCAAGAGACUUCUGAGAGUCAUGUGAAGCAAGUUUCCAUUUAUCAUUACUGAAUUUUUAUUAACAGAGCAAGAGAGGUACUGACAGAAUUUUACACCUCAAAUGCCAAAAUAGUUCAACUGAGUUCUUCUUUU
rnacentral:lncRNA from 1 species